rnacentral:lncRNA from 1 species
GCCACCACACCCAACCACAAAACUAGAACAUUCUAAUGUAUGUACAGUUCUAGGAUUUUUUUCCUAAAUGUUACUUUUGCAUUUAUGAUGAUAUUUGAGGGUAAAUUAAAUUUAAUUUUAAAUAUGAAUUUAAAAUCUUUAAAGCUACACUGCCUUUUACAACCUGAUGUAAAAGUGUUCUUUCAGUGGCUGGUAUUUUCCUGGUGAUUAAUACAUGCUGAGUCCUCCCCUCCCAAUAGGGAU